UACGUAGGGUGCGAGCGUUAAUCGGAAUUACUGGGCGUAAAGCGUGCGCAGGCGGAUUGGUAAGACAGAGGUGAAAUUCCCGGGCUUAACCUGGGAACUGCAUUUGUGACUGCCAGGCUAGAGUGCGGCAGAGGGGAGUGGAAUUCCGCGUGUAGCAGUGAAAUGCGUAGAUAUGCGGAGGAACACCGAUGGCGAAGGCAACUCCCUGGGCCUGUACUGACGCUCAUGCGCGAAAGCGUGGGGAGCAAACAGG
rnacentral:rRNA from 1 species